GACGACGCUGGCGGCGUGGAUUAGGCAUGCAAGUCGGACGGUAGGGCUUUAUCGUAAGAUAGAGUUUGAGAGUGGCGAACGGGUGAGUAACACGUAGGAAUCUACCCUUAAGACGGGACAACCCAGGGAAACUUGGGCUAAUACCGGAUGAGAGUGCGAGAGAUUGCAUUUAAAAGGAUGGCGAAAGUUGUCGCUUAGGGAUGAGCCUGCGGUCUAUUAGUUAGUUGGUGAGGUAGGAGCUCACCAAGGCGAUGAUAGAUAGGCGGCCUUAACGGGUGGUCGCCCACACUGGGAUUGAGAUACGGCCCAGACUCCUACGGGAGGCAGCAGUCGAGAAUAGUCUACAAUGGCCGGAAGGCUGAUAGUGCGACGCCGCGUGAACGAGGGAGCCCUUCGGGGUGUAAAGUUCUUUUCUAUACGAGCAGUGCUAUAUAUAUGGAUAGUAUAUAUAGAGGGAUAGUAGUAUAGGAAUAAGCAACGGCUAACUCCGUG
rnacentral:rRNA from 1 species